rnacentral:rRNA from 1 species
UACGGGGGGGGCAAGCGUUGUUCGGAAUUACUGGGCGUAAAGGGGACGUAGGCGGCCAACUAAGUCCGACGUGAAAUCCCAAGGCUUAACCUUGGAACUGCGUCGGAUACUGGAUGGCUUGAAUUCGGGAGAGGGAUGCAGAAUUCCAGGUGUAGCGGUGAAAUGCGUAGAUAUCUGGAGGAACACCGGUGGCGAAGGCGGCAUCCUGGACCGGUAUUGACGCUGAGGCGCGAAAGCCAGGGGAGCAAACGGG